rnacentral:lncRNA from 1 species
AUGUGUGUGCCUGUGAACAAGUGGAGCAGAAGUGACGACUGUGUGUGUGACAGUGAAGGAAGAGCAGGGGAGGGUAAAGCUCUGUUAGCUGAGGUUUCUGGGAAGGGAUUGGAUGGGAGGAGGUGGACACAGUGUGAGUCUUUACUAUGGGGGUGUGAAUAUUGGGCAGAGGAUGUGGGAGAUGGGGUGCUGUGGGCUGGAGGUGCUGGCAGAGAUCGAGUAUCAGCUCUGUAUUAGGACAAGUUGUAAGUAAACACACAUUUGCUCUAAUGUGGCCCCUCCUCCCAUGCCAUAGCCUUAUCUUAGAUUUGCAUGGUUUUAAAUCGGGGAACACAAGAGUGUUUGGAGAAGACCUCAGAAAUAAUUUAACCCAGUCUACUCAUUUUACAGGAGAGUAAUUUGUAGAUAUUUUGUUAAGUUGCUCGUGUUCACAUAGAUAACUUGAGAAUAAGAAUAGAACUGAAAAUCAGGUCUUCUGACUCUCAGUCUGAAACUUUUACCACAAUAACCUGGUCCUUAAUCAUUCAUCCUCUCCUUCAAUAAUAUAUAUUGAAUAUCUAUUACUGUAAUUCUAGACCCUAUGUACUGAGCAUGUGAAAAUAAGUUGAGUAAGAAAAAUUGCUUGCCCUUGAACUGAUUAUGAUCUCUUCAUCCAUCCAUCCAUCCAUCCAUCCAUCAUUCGUUCAUCUUUUCAUCAGUCUACUUCUCUUUCCACGUAUCCAUGAAUACAUCUUCUUAUUUCUUUAUCUAUUCAUCCAGUCAUCAAUGCCUCUAUAAAGCCCCAAGUCCUAGGCUGGGCUGGGGGCCAAGAUAAGUAAAAAUUUUGCUUUUUAGGUUUUCACCUGUUGUGGAGGAAGGCACACAGAAAGCUGCCUCUAAGGUAUGUACACAGGGCUCUGUACACAAAAGGAGACUUUCUCUUCUGCCUCUUAUUUUUGAGAAGGCUUCAUUCUGGGUGAAAACAGAGCUGCGCUUUGUAUAGGAGUCUCCAGUGGGAGAGAUGGGAAAGGACUUUCUAGGCUGAGACAGCAACAGGGGAAAGGCAUGAGGAUGUCUGGUGGGUUCAGAAGGGAGCGGAGUUCCAUUGCACUUGAUAACUCCUAGGAGUGAGCUGAUGGUUAUUAGUGAGGAGCAUGUGUGCUAAAUCGCUUCAGUCAUGUCUGACUCUUCACGACCCUAUGGACAGGGUCCUUUGUCCAUGGGAUUCUCCAGGAAAGAAUACUGGAGUGGGUUGCCAUGCCCUCCUCCAGGGGAUCUUCCUGAUCUGGGAUUGAACCCGCUUCUCUAACGUCUCCUGUGUUGGCAGGCAGGUUCUUUACCACCUGGGAAGAGGAUGUUAAAGGUUCUUUUAAAAGGACCCUGGAUACAAUACCUGGAGCUAGAAUGUCACCCUUUGGGCAUUUGGAAACCAUUGCUGAGUUGGUGGUGGUGUUGUUUUUAGCAGGAAGUGAUUUUGGCCAGUGUACAUUUUAGAAAGAUCACUCAGGGCAAUUGGGUUGGAAGCAGGAGACUAGAAGUACAGGAAUGUUUAAAACCCGUCCUAACAGCCCUAACAUCAUGGCCUAAAUCAAGGUGUUGACUGUGGACAUGGGACCUGUGGGUGGGGUUUGAGCAACAAGUGGAGGAACAAUAAAAAGAACUUGAGUGGUGACUUAUCA